CCUUAGAUGUUCUGGGCCGCACGCGCGCUACACUGACAGAGCCAACGAGUAUAAACCUUAACCGAGAGGUUUGGGUAAUCUUGUUAAACUCUGUCGUGCUGGGGAUAGAGCAUUGCAAUUAUUGCUCUUCAACGAGGAAUAUCUAGUAAGCGCGAGUCAUCAGCUCGCGUUGAUUACGUCCCUGCCCUUUGUACACACCGCCCGUCGCUACUACCGAUUGAAUGGCUCAGUGAGGCCUUCGGAUUGGCUCAGGGAGGUCGGCAACGACCACCCAGAGCCGAAAAGUUGGUCAAACUUGGUCAUUUAGAGGAAGUAAAAGUCGUAACAAGGUUUGUAAUAAGUCUCCUUCCGCAGUGACGCUUAUGAGAAGCCUUUGUGGCCCUGCAAAGGGUACCAGCCGCGACUAUAAAGAAUGAAGAAGCCGGUAUUAAAUCGCAAGUCAGUUGGGCAACCAUCUGGCCACACUUUCGAAUUGCGGGAACACCCUAAAGCCCAAUCUCUACCAACCAAGCAAGGAAAACUACUUGGGGCCUGUGCUAAUCACACAGGGUAAGGUAAUAACGAGUUGGGAUAACGGUUCUGACCGGACCAGUAUGGGUAAUCCGCAGCCAAAUCCCUACAGCUUUGGUCACAAAGCCAUGGGAAAGGUUCACAGACUAAGUGGAAGUGGGCUGAAAAACUGUUCAGCUUAAGAUAUAGUCGGGCCCUAUGGGAAACCAAUGGGGAGUCACUAAUCCGCAGUGUACACCGUUCCGUAGGUGAACCUGCGGAAGGAUCAUUAUGAUAAAAACUCUAUUGCCUCGUGCAAUGGUUAAACCCUUUGUGAACCAAAACCUUUAUUAGCUUCGGCAGCGUGCAAGCGGGUUUACGCCUGUUUGUCUGUUAGCCUGCCGGUAGCACCAAACCAAACUUUUGUUUAAAACAUCUAGUCUGAACAAUCAUUUUCGAAUGAAAAAUUAAAACUUUCAACAACGGAUCUCUUGGUUCUCGCAUCGAUGAAGAACGCAGCGAAACGCGAUAGUUAAUGUGAAUUGCAGAAUUCAGUGAAUCAUCGAGUCUUUGAACGCACAUUGCGCCCUUUGGUAUUCCGAAGGGCAUGUCUGUUUGAGCGUCAUUACAACACCUCGUUAACAAUUAGUUUUGUGAACGGUUUUGAGCUCUGGCUGUUAAAAGCCUGGUUUUAAAGUUGAACGCUCUGCGGGUCACACUGCCAAACUAUACAUAGUAAAACUUAUUCUGUACGGUGAGAAAGUGAAUUGACUUCGCCUGAAUAAAAAACCCAUUUCUAAGGUUUGACCUCAGAUCAGACAAGGAUACCCGCUGAACUUAAGCAUAUCAAUAAGCGGAGGAAAAGAAACCAACAGGGAUUGCCUCAGUAACGGCGAGUGAAGCGGCAACAGCUCAAAUUUGAAAUCUCAGGUAUUUUACUUGCGAGUUGUAAUUUGAAGAGGAUGUUUCGGUUGUGACCUUGGCCUAAGUUCCUUGGAACAGGACGUCGUAGAGGGUGAGAAUCCCGUACACGGCUGUAGGUUUACUUCCAUGUGUAACUCCUUCGAAGAGUCGAGUUGUUUGGGAAUGCAGCUCAAAAUGGGUGGUAAAUUUCAUCUAAAGCUAAAUACUGGCGAGAGACCGAUAGCGCACAAGUAGAGUGAUCGAAAGAUGAAAAGCACUUUGAAAAGAGAGUUAAACAGUACGUGAAAUUGUUGAAAGGGAAGCGUUUGCAAUCAGACUUGCUUGCGGUUGAUCAACGUUCCUUCUGGUUCGUGCACUCUGCCGUUCGCAGGCCAGCAUCGGUUAGGACAGUGGGACAAAGACUCAAGGAAUGUGGCUUUCUUCGGGAAGUGUUAUAGCCUUGUGUGUAAUGCCACUUGACCUGACCGAGGUCCGCGCUUUUGCUAGGAUGCUGGCGUAAUGGUUGUAAACGGC
rnacentral:rRNA from 1 species